rnacentral:lncRNA from 1 species
CCAACCUCUCCACCAUUGACCUGCAAGGACCCUCUCACCCAGCCACUCCAUAGCUGACCUGCAAGUACCCUCCCACCCCAACCUCUCCAACAUUAAUCUGCAAGGACCCUCCCACCCAACCACUCCACUGUUGACCUGCAAGAACCCUUCUACUCCAAGCACUUCAGCAUUGACCUGCAAGGACCCUUCUACUCCAAGCACUUCAGCAUUGACCUGCAAGGACCCUUCUACCCCAACCACUUCAGCAUUAACCUCACCCCUUGUUGUACCAGGGCCCCACGUGCCCCGAACGGAUCACCGCAGCCCCGCACGCACCGCCGCCCGCUCCGCUCCGCUCAGCGCUGCUCCCCCGCUCCCUCCGCGGCGCCGCGGGGUUCGAUGGGAAAGAGAGUCCCAAACCGCAGCGCCGCCGCAGCGCCCCCCGCGCUUUGGACUACAGCUCCCAGAGUGCAUCGCGGCACAGACCCUCUGCGCGUCACGUGACGUGUGGGGGGGGACGCGGGCAGAUGAACGCAUCCACGUGGAACGGAGCGCAGAUGGAGAACGCGGCCCCACGGGGCUGGAAUGUGGGGAUCCGGGAGGGCAGGAAACACUUGCGGCACAUCCCCGGUUGGCACUCAGCACUGGGACACUCAAUGGGUUCUACCAACACCGGGGGCAGAAUUGGGGCUGACGGACCCACAGAUGCUCCCGUGAGUUCGGACACAACGCUACAAACCACGUGGCUGCAUGGAGCGGACGGCGUGAACAGCAAAACCCCACAUUUCUCCAAAUCCCAUCGCCUUCCUGGCGACUCUACCACGAUGAGGUUCUCUCCGUGUCCUUCCUUCCCUAUGAGUUCUGCUAUGAGUUCUGGUUCUGGUUCCGCUCCCCCGGAUCCGCGCACCGCGGGACGAGUCGGUGCCGCACACCUCCAGGAGCAUCUCCUCUCCCAAGUGGAGAUUUCACAUUCAUUUCACGGGUAUGGCAAAGUCCUUUUGCUUUUCCUUCAAAGGUGCUUUACAUUCAAGAGCUAUUGCAAUCCACAACCCCGCUGUCUUGGGUUUGGUUACGCGAUUUAAAAUGGAUGGCCCCAAACCUCAGGGUUCAGUUCGUCUCCGGAUUUGGGGCCGGGGAG